rnacentral:rRNA from 1 species
CCAAUAGCGUAUAUUAAAGUUGUUGCAGUUAAAAAGCUCGUAGUUGAAUUUCGGGAUUGGCGCAUCGGUCGUGCCUUACGGGGUAUGAACUGGUGCAGUCAAUUUCUCACCUUCUGGAGAACCGCGAUGUCCUUAAUUGGGUGCCGCGGGGAACCAGGACCUUUACUUUGAAAAAAUUAGAGUGUUUAAAGCAGGCAUUUUUGCUUGAAUACAUUAGCAUGGAAUAAUAAAAUAGGACGGCAUGGUUCUAUUUUGUUGGUUUCUAGGACCACCGUAAUGAUUAAUAGGGAUAGUUGGGGGCAUUAGUAUUCAAUUGUCAGAGGUGAAAUUCUUGGAUUUAUUGAAGACUAACUACUGCGAAAGCAUUUGCCAAGGAUGUUUUCAUUAAUCAAGAACGAAAGUUAGGGGAUCGAAGACGAUCAGAUACCGUCGUAGUCUUAACCAUAAACUAUGCCGACUAGGAAUCAGACGAUGUUAAUUUUUUAAUGACUCGUUUGGCACCUUAC